CAUAGCCUAUAGCUAUUACAGGUUAAUCCUGCUCUAUGAAUUUAAUGGCCGCAGUAAACUGACUGUGCUAAGGUAGCAUAAUAAAUUGGCCUUUAAUUUGGGUCUGGCAUGAAUGGAUCAUAUGUGAACUGUCUUUAUUAUAUUUUUUUAAAUUACUUAAUAGGUGAAAAUUCCUAUAAUAAAAGAAAGACGAGAAGACCCUUAGAAUUAUAAAUAUUUUUGUUGGGGCGACAUAUUUUCAUAAAACAUAAUGUAAAUUAUCACAAGACUAGUAAGAAAUAAUUACCUGAGGGAUAACAGCAUAACAAUAUGUUUAUGACCUCGAUGUUGGACUAGGUUAUAAUAACAAGCAGUUAUUAUUGUUCUGUUCGAACCCUACGUGAUCU
rnacentral:rRNA from 1 species